CGGACGGGUGAGUAACGCGUGAAUGAUCUGUCCCUCACAGGGGAAUAACACUUGGAAACAGGUGCUAAUACCGCAUAAGACCACGGUGCUGCAUGGCACUGAGGUAAAAGGAGCGAUCCGGUGAGGGGUGAGUUCGCGUCCGAUUAGCCAGUUGGCGGGGUAAGAGCCCCACCAAAGCGACGAUCGGUAGCCGACCUGAGAGGGUGAUCGGCCACACUGGAACUGAGACACGGUCCAGACUCCUACGGGAGGCAGCAGUGGGGAAUAUUGGGCAAUGGGCGAAAAAGCCUGACCCAGCAACGCCGCGUGAGGGAAGAAGGUUUUCGGAUUGUAAACCUCUAUCGCAGGGGACGAAGGAAGUGACGGUACCCUGCAAGGAAGCCCCGGCUAACUACGUGCCAGCCGCCGC
rnacentral:rRNA from 1 species